rnacentral:rRNA from 1 species
UACGAAGGGGGCUAGCGUUGUUCGGAAUUACUGGGCGUAAAGCGCACGUAGGCGGACUUGUCAGUCAGAGGUGAAAUCCCGAAGCUUAACUUCGGAACUGCCUUUGAUACUGCAAGUCUUGAGGAUGAGAGAGGUAAGUGGAACUGCGAGUGUAGAGGUGAAAUUCGUAGAUAUUCGCAAGAACACCAGUGGCGAAGGCGGCUUACUGGCUCAUUUCUGACGCUGAGGUGCGAAAGCGUGGGGAGCAAACAGGG